rnacentral:rRNA from 1 species
UCCGGGUGAGUAACACGUAGGAAACCUUCCCUCGAGCGGGGGAUAACGUCCCGAAAGGGACGCUAAUACCGCAUAUGCCCACGUUGACUUCGGUCGAUGAGGGGAAAGCUGGCCUCUGUAUACACGCUAGCACUCGAGAAUGGUCCUGCGGCGCAUCAGCUAGUUGGUGGGGUAACGGCCUACCAAGGCGAAGACGCGUAGCUGGUCUGAGAGGAUGAUCAGCCACACUGGCACUGAAACACGGGCCAGACUCCUACGGGAGGCAGCAGUGGGGAAUAUUGGACAAUGGGCGCAAGCCUGAUCCAGCCACGCCGCGUGAGUGAUGAAGGCCUUCGGGUUGUAAAGCUCUGUGGGGAGGGACGAAAACGGCCAGGAAGAAACGCCUGGUCCUUGACGGUACCUCCUUAGCAAGCACCGGCUAACUCUGUGCCAGCAGCCGCGGUAA